rnacentral:rRNA from 1 species
AUGUUCCGAGAGUGCCUAGAUGAGUGUGGGCUAAUAGAUUUGGGGUAUAUUGGUCCUAAAUAUACAUGGUCCAAUAGGCAGGAGGAUGGGCGUAAUGUCAGGGUGAGACUUGACAGGGCAAUUGCAAAUGGUGAUUUCCUACAACUUUUUGAUGACUGCACUGUAGAGAACAUUAUAACAACAUCAUCUGAUCAUCUUGCCAUAUUAGUGAAGAUAGCAAAUAAAGGUAGACAAGGUGCUAUCAACCAUGUACUUCGAUCCUUUAAAUUCGAAGCUGCAUGGACGAGAGCACCUGAUUAUGUGCAAAUGAUCAACGAAAAUUGGGGAAAACUUAAGGAGGGCCCCCCUUCCCUGAACAAUACUUGGUCUGCUCUAAACAGAUUGUCAACAACCCUUCAAACUUGGAGCAGAGAAUCUUUUGGUUCGGUAAAGAAGGAGAUAAAGAAGCUGGAAAAGAAAUUAGCUUCAUUACGAAGGAACAACAUGGCUAUUGGUUAUUCGAGAGAGGAAAAGGAAGUGGAGAAGAAACUUUAUGAGAUGUUUGAAAGAGAAGAAAUCAUGGCCAAGCAACGAUCAAGAAUUGAUUGGCUUCAUGAGGGUGAUCGAAAUACUUCUUUUUUCCAUGCACGCGCUUCUGCAAGAAGAAGAACCAACAAAAUUAAAGCCUUGAGGAGAGUUGAUGGAUCACUGUGUGAAGAUCCUGAGGGUAUCAGGAGUAUGGUACAUGACUUCUAUUCCAAUAUGUUCACCUCUGAACCCUGUGACUCUCUGGAAUUGGUCCUAGAGGCUAUACCAUGCAAGGUAACUGAGGAUAUGAAUGAAGAUCUGUGCAAGGAAUAUACUAAUGAAGAAAUUAGGACUGCAUUAUUCCAGAUGGGUCCAACCAAGGCACCAGAGCCAGAUGGUUUCCCAGCAUUAUUUUAUCAGAUUCAUUGGGAUGUUUUGGCAGAAGAUAUAUGUGCAGCAAUUAAAGGCUUCCUUUUGGGACAGGACAUUCCAGAAGGCUUCUGUGAUUCGGUAAUUGUUCUUAUCCCGAAAGUUAAUAAUCCUGAUAUGCUCUCUAACUUCCGGCCAAUAAGUUUAUGCAAUGUAAUUUAUAAAAUAGCCUCUAAAGUAAUCUCUAAUCGCCUUAAACUCUUUUUGCCGAAGAUAAUAUCACAGCAACAAAGUGCCUUUGUGCCGGGGAGGCUAAUUACGGACAAUGUUAUAGUGGCAUAUGAAUGUCUCCACACAAUUCGAAAGCAGAAGGCAAAAUAUCCUUUCUUUGCCCUUAAAAUAGAUAUGUCAAAAGCUCAUGAUAGGGUAGAGUGGAAUUACCUCGAAGGAGUUCUAUUGAAACUGGGAUUCAGGGCUAAUUGGGUGGAGAUGGUUAUGAGAUGCAUAACCUCGGCUAGAUAUGCCGUUAAGUGA